AACUGCUUUUAUGCGGGGAUAAAGUGAGGGACGCGUCCCUUUUUGCAGGUACCGCAUGAAUAAGGACCGGCUAAUUCCGUGCCAGCAGCCGCGGUAAUACGGAAGGUCCGGGCGUUAUCCGGAUUUAUUGGGUUUAAAGGGAGCGUAGGCCGGGGAUUAAGUGUGUUGUGAAAUGUAGGCGCCCAACGUCUGACUUGCAGCGCAUACUGGUUCCCUUGAGUACGCGCAACGCCGGCGGAAUUCGUCGUGUAGCGGUGAAAUGCUUAGAUAUGACGAAGAACCCCGAUUGCGAAGGCAGCCGGCGGGAGCGCAACUGACGCUGAAGCUCGAAGGUGCGGGUAUCGAACAGGAUUAGAUACCCUGGUAGUCC
rnacentral:rRNA from 1 species